ensembl:lncRNA
CAAUUAUAUUGCAUAUUUUACAGUUUGUGGCAGUUUGCAUGCUUGCUUCCUGAAGAAAGACACUCUUCUACAGUGGGCCAUAUCUUUGGAGAAACAAGUCUCACACCUUUAUUUUAUUUUUAUUUUUUUUAUUUUUGGGGGGAGGUGGAGUAACAAUUACAUAUGUGGCUUGAACUACCAGAUGCAUUUACACUUGGUCAGUUGCAUCUGGAAUGUGUCUGAAACCACUUUCUGAAGUGGACGGAGUCAAGACAGUGGUUAGGUCUCAGGAUCUUGCAACCCUACAUACGACAAUUGGUUAGGAAAAUGAAUGUAUGGGUAAAGCCACAAUUGCAAUACAUAAAGUCCCUAAACAACUUAUUAAUUUUGAUGUGGAAAAGUGCUUCCAUAUUCACCGGCUUUUUGAAAAGUUUUCAGUCCCACUUAGAACUAGGUGGCUUUAACUCCUAUGUACUCACUGUCACAUUUAAAUUAAUAAUUUGUUACAAUGCACUUAUUGUGUACAUGUUUUUUUUUUUACAUUGUAAUUAAAUUUUUUUUUUAAAUACCUGCAUGUCAUUACAUGUUUAACUAAUUUCUGAACUUACAUUUAUAAUUACACUGUUGACCCAUCCCUUACACCUUAACCCACGCUUAAACCUACCAUACCACCAAACCUGUCCCUAACCUUACCCAUAUCUCACCGCAGUAGCAGCAGAAGUGUUUCGCAAUUCAAUAUGAACACUAUAAGUACAUUUUUUGAUGUAAGUACAUAGUAGUUAUGGCCACCUGAUAUAGUGUGGGACCAAGUUUUAAUUUCAGGUUUUACUCUGUGCUAUCCAUGCAUAGUAAUAUAUGUAUGCUUUUUAUUCUUCAGAGAUUGAGCCAUGGGACAGAAUUUUCUUUCACCUUGGCAUUGUCAGGUUUAGUGAUGUGGACACACUUAACAUAAUACGUCUACUAAUGCCAGAUUUUGCUGUCAUCCUGUCUACACUGUUCAUCCUUCAUUGGUGUAAAGCCAAGAAGCCACAUACUAGUGAAAACUGCAGGCACCUCUACAACAGUGAGGUAAUGAGCAACCCUCUACGGACACCUUGGCAAUUGAAUCGCCAUUGGGUAGUAAAUUUUUUAGUUUACUCGCCAGACUGAUAUACUAUAUAUAUAUAUAUAUGCAUACACAUACUGUAUAAUACUGUAUAUGUUUUUAAAAUGCCACAGCUUUUUAAAUACCUGAAAGUACAUACUUAACAUCAGUCAGUCAAGCAUUAUAAUAUGAUAUCCGGAUAAUCAAGUACUAUUUAAUGAUAGAACUUUACUAAUUAUAAUUAAAACUUGGUAACCAUGUAUGAAUGCAUAGACAUUUUAACUGAAUUUAGAACUGGUGGUGGUGCUUUGUUGAUCAUUCAGUGUUUCUGUAAACAAAAAAACAAAAAAAAGAACAAUAAUACUGAUAAGAAGAUAAUAAUAAUAAUAAUAAUCCGAAUUCUACUAAUAACAACAGUAAAACAUGCACAAGAAUAAGAAUGAACAAGCUGCUGGAUUCACGAAUAUUAAUCAGUUUGUGUCCAUUCGCUGGAACUGAUUUGCUGAAAUCAAAACAAGGGAUGAUAAUAAGUGAGCACCAGCCAAUGGCUGGUUUGCACAUUAGUUCCGCCCACUACCAGAAAACCCGGCAGUUCUUAAAAACUGAAAAAAAUCCAAAGGAUCUCCGUUAUUUUGACAAAUACAAACAAACAAAUGUAUUUGAAAAUACAACAAUGAAUAUCGUUUACAUGUAACGCGUCAACUCUGCAUGAUCUGUAAAACUCGCUCGCUCUCUCGCUCUCUCUCUUUCUCUCUCUCUCUCUCUCUCACUUCGCGCAUGUGAGAGAAAGCGUCGCGAGGUGUGCGCCUUCACACUAGAGUCUGGUACGCCAAAAACACAAACACAGGUAGGCUGUGCAUCCAUUGAGAUGAACUGAAAAAUAUCACAGAUCGCUUGACGAAGUGAGAAACUCUGAAGCGCUCAGAGUGUUCGGCAAGUAAAAAUAUAUCUGUGUUAAACUUAUGCUUAGCCUCAAACUCACACACUGGCGAGUAAAAUCUGAGAAUUUAUUAGCCAUUGGCUAAUAUUAGACAUCAUUUAGUCGCCAGAGUAAAGAUUUAGUCC